rnacentral:rRNA from 1 species
AUUGAACGCUGGCGGCAUGCUUUACACAUGCAAGUCGGACGGCAGCGGGGUAGUGCUUGCACUACUGCCAGCGAGUGGCGCACGGGUGAGUAAUAUAUUGGAACGUACCGAGUAAUGGGGGAUAACCAAUCGAAAGAUUGGCUAAUACCGCAUACGCUCUGAGGAGGAAAGCAGGGGACCUUCGGGCCUUGCGUUAUUCGAGCGGCCAAUAUCUGAUUAGCUAGUUGGUGGGGUAAGGGCCUACCAAGGCGACGAUCAGUAGCGGGUCUGAGAGGAUGAUCCGCCACACUGGGACUUAGACACGGCCCAGACUCCUACGGGAGGCAGCAGUGGGGAAUUUUGGACAAUGGGCGCAAGCCUGAUCCAGCCAUGCCGCGUGUCUGAAGAAGGCCUUCGGGUUGUAGGACUUUUGUUAGGGAAGAAAAAGGAGCGGUUAAUACCCGUUUCUGCUGACGGUACCUAAAGAAUAAGCACCGGCUAACUACGUG